GGUGGGUAGUUUGACUGGGGCGGUCUCCUCCUAAAGAGUAACGGAGGAGCACGAAGGUUGGCUAAUCCUGGUCGGACAUCAGGAGGUUAGUGCAAUGGCAUAAGCCAGCUUGACUGCGAGCGUGACGGCGCGAGCAGGUGCGAAAGCAGGUCAUAGUGAUCCGGUGGUUCUGAAUGGAAGGGCCAUCGCUCAACGGAUAAAAGGUACUCCGGGGAUAACAGGCUGAUACCGCCCAAGAGUUCAUAUCGACGGCGGUGUUUGGCACCUCGAUGUCGGCUCAUCACAUCCUGGGGCUGAAGUAGGUCCCAAGGGUAUGGCUGUUCGCCAUUUAAAGUGGUACGCGAGCUGGGUUUAGAACGUCGUGAGACAGUUCGGUCCCUAUCUGCCGUGGGCGCUGGAGAACUGAGGGGGGCUGCUCCUAGUACGAGAGGACCGGAGUGGACGCAUCACUGGUGUUCGGGUUGUCAUGCCAAUGGCACUGCCCGGUAGCUAAAUGCGGAAGAGAUAAGUGCUGAAAGCAUCUAAGCACGAAACUUGCCCCGAGAUGAGUUCUCCCUGAGACUUAGAGUCUCCUGAAGGAACGUUGAAGACGACGACGUUGAUAGGCC
rnacentral:rRNA from 1 species